UACGGGGGGAGCAAGCGUUGUUCGGAUUUACUGGGCGUAAAGGGCGCGUAGGCGGUCAGCACAAGUCAGUUGUGAAAUCUCCGGGCUUAACUCGGAAAGGUCAACUGAUACUGUGCGACUAGAGUGCAGAAGGGGCAACUGGAAUUCUCGGUGUAGCGGUGAAAUGCGUAGAUAUCGAGAGGAACACCUGCGGCGAAGGCGGG
rnacentral:rRNA from 1 species